UGGGGAAUAUUGGACAAUGGGGGCAACCCUGAUCCAGCGACGCCGCGUGGGUGAAGAAGGCCUGCGGGUUGUAAAGCCCUUUCGGUGGGGAAGAAAAGUCUCGGCCUAAUACGCUGGGACCCUGACGUAACCCACUAAAGAAGCACCGGCUAACUCUGUGCCAGCAGCCGCGGUAAUACAGAGGGUGCGAGCGUUAAUCGGAAUUACUGGGCGUAAAGCGCGCGUAGGCGGCUUUUCAAGCCGAUUGUGAAAUCCCCGGGCUUAACCUGGGAACUGCAGUCGGGACUGUCUAGCUAGAGUAUGGGAGAGGGAAGUGGAAUUUCAGGUGUAGCGGUGAAAUGCGUAGAUAUCUGAAGGAACAUCAGUGGCGAAAGCGACUUCCUGGACCAAUACUGACGCUCAUGUGCGAAAGCGUGGGGAGCAAACAGGAUUAGAUACCCUGGUAGUCCACGCCAUAAACGAUGAGAACUGGAUGUCGGGAGGGUCUGCCUCUCGGCGUCGUAGCUAACGCGUUAAGUUCUCCGCCUGGGGAGUACGGCCGCAAGGUUGA
rnacentral:rRNA from 1 species